CACGUAGGCACCAAGCGUUGUCCGGAUUUAUUGGGCGUAAAGAGCUCGUAGGCGGUUCGGUAAGUCGGGUGUGAAAACUUUGGGCUCAACCCAAAGCGUGCACUCGAUACUGCCAUGACUAGAGUUCGGUAGGGGAGUGGGGAAUCCCUAGUGUAGCGGUGAAAUGCGUAGAUAUCGAGAGGAACACCUGCGGCGAAGGCGGGUAGCUGGGCCGACACUGACGCUGAUGCGCGAAAGCCAGGGGAGCGAACGGG
rnacentral:rRNA from 1 species